GGACGAACGCUGGCGGCGUGCUUAACCCCUGCAAGUCGAACGGAAAGGCCCCCUUGUGGGGUACUCGAGUGGCGAACGGGUGAGUAACACGUGAGUAACCUACCCUUGACUUUGGGAUAACUUCAGGAAACUGGGGCUAAUACCGGAUAGGAGCUCCUGCUGCAUGGUGGGGGUUGGAAAGUUUCGGCGGUUGGGGAUGGACUCGCGGCUUAUCAGCUUGUUGGUGGGGUAGUGGCUCACCAAGGCUUUGACGGGUAGCCGGCCUGAGAGGGUGACCGGCCACAUUGGGACUGAGAUACGGCCCAGACUCCUACGGGAGGCAGCAGUGGGGAAUAUUGCACAAUGGGCGGAAGCCUGAUGCAGCAACGCCGCGUGCGGGAUGACGGCCUUCGGGUUGUAAACCGCUUUCGCCUGUGACGAAGCGUGAGUGACGGUAAUGGGUAAAGAAGCACCGGCUAACUACGUG
rnacentral:rRNA from 1 species